rnacentral:lncRNA from 1 species
UGAUGUGCUAUUGAUUUUUUUUUUCCUGCAGUCCGGGUUUUUUUAAUCUUUUGACCAUUGAUUAGUCCGCGAUCCAAUGGUUUGAUGACCCAUUGGUAUCGAAAAAUAAGUUUAAGCUCAUCAUGCUCGAUCCGCUGGUGAUGGACGGAUCAAGUCCUGAUCUUAAAAUGUUCACGUCCAAGUCACGAUCGGAGUCCUUUGCGCCCUCCCAAAGCCUCGCGCCGAUAAACAUGGCGGCUCUAAUUUCUCUACACGCAGACAGUUCUUUCGUAGGCUUAAUCAAACAUGUGUAGUGAUUUUCCUCUAUCAAGUUUAGCAUAAAUAUAUACCUUUAAACACAUUUUGCUCCUAAAAGCAGCAAAAUAUUUUAUAUGUCCAUACUUCUAUAAAAUUAUUUAAUUUGAAUAAACUA